GGGGCGGGCCGGGGCGGGGCGGGGCUGGGCUCGGCGGGGCUCGGCGCGGCAGGACGCGGCUCGGCCCGGCCCGGCCAUGGCGUCUCCGUCGCGGCGGCUGCAGACGAAGCCGGUGAUCACCUGCCUGAAGAGCGUGCUGCUCACCUACACCUUCGUCUUCUGGGUGUCGGGCAUCGUGCUGCUGGCCGUGGGCGUCUGGGGCAGGGUGAGCCUGGCCGUCUACUUCUCCCUGCUGGACGAGAAGGCCACCAACGUGCCCUUCGUCCUGGUGGGCGCCGGCGUCGUCGUGGUCCUGCUGGGCACCUUCGGCUGCUUCGCCACCUGCCGCGGCAGCACCUGGAUGCUCAAGCUGUACGCCAUGCUCCUGUCCCUCAUCUUCCUCAUCGUCCUGGUGGCCGCCGUCGUCGGCUUUGUCUUCAGGCACGAGAUCAAGACAAACUUUGAGAGCAACCUCAACCUGGCCUUGAAGAACUACAACGUGACAGCGGAUCAGCACAGUGAGGCAGUUGACACCAUCCAGAGAACCCUGCACUGCUGUGGGGUGCAGAACUACUCAGACUGGGAGAAGACCGAUUACUUCGCCCAGAGGGGAAUCCCUCGGAGCUGCUGCAAGAGCCAGGACGACUGCCCAGUGGAGGAUCUGAGAGACCCAAGUAAAGCCAAGCUGAAGGUGUUUGUGGAUGGUUGUUUUUUCCUGGUAACAUCAACGAUGGAGUCAAAAAUGAGCAUUGUGGCUGGAAUCUCCUUUGGCAUCGCGUGCUUCCAGGUAAAUCUCCCCCGCUGCCUGGCACGGGAGCAGUGCAGAGUGAGGCUAGCAUGUCUCCAGAGGCAUUCAAUUUCUGUGCAGGAUAUGUGUGUGUACAAAAGGCACAGCCUGUCUCAGCCAGAGAGGAACAGCUCUUCUGCAGCUAUUCAGUGUUUAACCUCACCCCCUGUGCAAUCUCCAGCUUCUUAAACCCAAGGCUGAAGCACCAGCUCUGUUUCCCUGAUCCCAGGUUAUUUGGGAAGAGCUCCUUUCUGCAACAGCUGACUUUAAGAAAAACCAAGGCCUGUGCCGCCCUGGAUAAAGCCCCUGCAUUUGCUGUUGGGAGGGAGCUACUUAGUGCCCCUCCUUUUAUCAGGGAAUCGUUGUGGGCUCAGUUCUGUGCAGCCGGGUCCCUCAGAGCACGCACGUGGUAUCCCUUGUGCUGUUGGCCCUGACGAGGAGGACCUCGCACUCCACGCACCACCUCAACCUGCAAUUGCUUCCUCCCCCUCUGGCUCCUCAACCUCCAGUUUACUUUGUGCUGUAGGACACUUCCUGCACGGGCUUCGGGCAACAAUGUGCUUAGUGUCCUGUAAUCUGACAGGCUUUAUCCCAGCAGGAAACGAGAGGCCUCUGCCCCUGAGUUCCUGGCUAAAUUGGGCUUUGUGCACGGUGAAUGCUAUAGUCUGGGUUUCCCAAGGAGCCGUGCACAAUAGGGCUGAGCGCUUGGGAAAUCCAGAUCCAAUGUGUCGCAGCAGGAGCUGCAGGAUGUACAACUGGCCCUUAUUUAGCUGGCUUCUGGAAACUUGCUCGGCUCUAGGUGCUAGGCACUUGCUGAGCAAGCGUGGCAGGCCCUCACUUUGGAGGGAAGUGAAUUUGCUCUUUAUGUGGUCCAGCACCCAGAAGCCAUGGUGUGACCUCUGAGGCACAGGACCAACAGGUAACAGCACCAGAGGAGGGUGAGGAACCUCGCCAAGAUACUGCUGCCAUAACAAGCGUGCUACCCUGCCUUUCCUGUAACAGAAACUGUAAAAUGUGGGAGAGGCUGCAGGCAGCGGGGCUCUGGCUGCAGUCUGUGCUAGCAAAUGCUUUCGGCUGUGGCUGGGAGCUGGGACCGGUCUCUGUGCUCCUCCCGCAGUGAUGUGAGCAGUGCUUUGCUCACCAUGCUCCGCAUGGGGUGGCUGAGACGUGACUGACACGCAAAUGGUGAGCUGCCUGCUUCCCCCGGCUCUGGCCGCGCAAUUAUCUCAGCUAAUGCUGGGCUGGGGAAUUGUAGCCAUUUCCUGGUUUUUAUCACUCGUUCAGCAAGUGUUUGCUGUCGUGCAGCCAGCAGGGGCCAAUCAUGGAAGUGUGCCUCUAACUUGGCUUGUGCAGGUCAAACUCCUGCAGGAUCCAGCCCCGAAUGUCUGUGCCGGGGCUGGGAGGCCACGUUGCGAUAACAGCAGCGUGUCCUCCAUGUGUUGUUGAUGGGAAACAGCAACCUUGCUUCCCCGCUGCCCUUGCAACGGGAGGAGGUGGUUGCUGUUCUGGUGGUUGUGUAAUUGGCUGUGACGCUCCUGAUAUCUGUGUAAUCUCUGAAAUUACUGUAUAACAGUAGAUGCUUCGUAAAGCAAAAUGUAACAGGAUGGGAUGUGGAGCGUUGCUUGCAAGGAGCUUGCUUGGCAUAUGCCUGCCAGGAUCCUCUGCUUCAGUCUCUCUCUCUGCAGCGGGGCGCAGCAGCCCAUGUUGUGGUUUGUAAAUCCCCACUGUCUGUCUUUGCCUGUUAUAAAACUGAGAUGGAAGUGCCUGAUGUUCCGGAGCAAUUUGUCAGGCUUUCCCCCUAAAAAACACAAAACAAAACACGUCCUGUUUUGGGCCACCUCUAGCAUGUCUUUUCUCUUUUUCCAGUUGGUUGGCAUCAUUCUCGCCUGCUGCCUGUCCCAGUACAUCACAAACAACCAGUAUGAGAUGGUGUAGCUGGCCCCCAGCGUGCUGUGGCUGUGACCAAGGGUGUUCCUCGUGCUCUCUGUGUCGGGGAAGACCGCGCCACCUCCAGUUUUCCUCUGGACGCUGCUUCGUGAAGUCUUGCUUUGAAUUGACUGAUCCUCUUCUCAACUAGCUCAUAGAAACGAGUGCAACAGCUGUUCUGCUGCGCUCAGGGACUUGUCCUGACACUACUCUGCUGUACCACUGAGUGGGAUAAUUAGCGUAGCCGAGGUGGUUGUAGUAGCUGCGUUCCUCCGGGCGCCGGGCUCUUUCCUCAGCCGCAAGCUGAAGCGCCGUGCUGGAGCAGCCGCUGCCGCCGUUCAUCCGCAGCCCUCGCUGGCUGCCGUGCGAGGCGGCCACGUGGGACGGGAUGCUGCUGGGCAGGAGCUGCUCUCACCCAGUGCCUCCCUCGGGAAAGCAGCGCUUUCUCUCAUCUCUGACCUCUGUUCUCAGCCCCCGGCAUCCCCUCACCGUUCAGCCUCACUCACUGGACGCGUUUCCUCUUCAGAUGGGGCUGUUGCCCCAUUUCAGCACUGCCCUGCCUGCUGCAGCUCUUGGCUCAGCAAGGUCUCGGCUUAUUGCCAAGCUCUCUCUCAUCCCCGUGCUGGGUUUUAUAUACUUUUUUAGAGUUGUACUUUUUUAAGUACGGGCUGUAGCGAUUCUUUGUAAGCUGUAGCGAGGUUUGGUGAUGUAGCUCCUGGUGCCUUUACCUGGGUAGGUGUCCUUGCACCGAGUCAGCUGUGACUUGAUUGUCAGUAUUAUAUGCUGCUUUAACUCAUUUUGUGUAUUGAGUAGAACUCUUUUGUCCUGAGACACAAUAAAUAUUAAGAUAUUUUACUC